UCUCCGUAGGUGAACCUGCGGAGGGAUCAUUAACGAGUUCCCAUUAAACGGGUAGAAUUCCCACCCUAUGUUAUCAUUACCUUUGUUGCUUUGGCGGGCCGUCCCGGCCUUGGUCAGGCUACCGGCUCCGGCUGGUAAGCGCCCGCCAGAUGACCCCAAACCCUGAAUAUUAGUGUCGUCUGAGUACUAUAUAAUAGUUAAAACUUUCAACAACGGAUCUCCUGGUUCUG
rnacentral:misc_RNA from 1 species